CCUACGGGAGGCAGCAGUAGGGAAUCUUCCGCAAUGGACGAAAGUCUGACGGAGCAACGCCGCGUGAGUGAUGAAGGCUUUCGGGUCGUAAAACUCUGUUGUUAGGGAAGAACAAGUGCUAGUUGAAUAAGCUGGCACCUUGACGGUACCUAACCAGAAAGCCACGGCUAACUACGUGCCAGCAGCCGCGGUAAUACGUAGGUGGCAAGCGUUAUCCGGAAUUAUUGGGCGUAAAGCGCGCGCAGGUGGUUUCUUAAGUCUGAUGUGAAAGCCCACGGCUCAACCGUGGAGGGUCAUUGGAAACUGGGAGACUUGAGUGCAGAAGAGGAAAGUGGAAUUCCAUGUGUAGUGGUGAAAUGCGUAGAGAUAUGGAGGAACACCAGUGGCGAAGGCGACUUUCUGGUCUGUAACUGACACUGAGGCACGAAAGCGUGGGGAGCAAACAGGAUUAGAUACCCUGGUAGUCCACGCCGUAAACGAUGAGUGCUAAGUGUUAGAGGGUUUCCGCCCUUUAGUGCUGCAGCUAACGCAUUAAGCACUCCGCCUGGGGAGUACGGUCGCAAGACUGAAACUCAAAUGAAUUGACGGA
rnacentral:rRNA from 1 species